UGGAUCCAGACUUUGAUUCUGGCUCAGGACGAACGCUGGCGGCGCGCCUAACACAUGCAAGUCGAACGGAGUCAAGAGGAGCUUGCUUUUCUUGACUUAGUGGCGAACGGGUGAGUAACGCGUGAGUAACCUGCCCUGGAGUGGGGGACAACAGUUGGAAACGACUGCUAAUACCGCAUAAGCCCACGGAUCCGCAUGGAUCUGCGGGAAAAGGAUUUAUUCGCUUCAGGAUGGACUCGCGUCCAAUUAGCUAGUUGGUGAGGUAACGGCCCACCAAGGCGACGAUUGGUAGCCGGACUGAGAGGUUGAACGGCCACAUUGGGACUGAGACACGGCCCAGACUCCUACGGGAGGCAGCAGUGGGGGAUAUUGCACAAUGGGGGAAACCCUGAUGCAGCGACGCCGCGUGGAGGAAGAAGGUUUUCGGAUUGUAAACUCCUGUCGUUAGGGACGAUAAUGACGGUACCUAACAAGAAAGCACCGGCUAACUACGUGCCAGCAGCCGCGGUAAAACGUAGGGUGCAAGCGUUGUCCGGAAUUACUGGGUGUAAAGGGAGCGCAGGCGGACCGGCAAGUUGGAAGUGAAAACUAUGGGCUCAACCCAUAAAUUGCUUUCAAAACUGCUGGCCUUGAGUAGUGCAGAGGUAGGUGGAAUUCCCGGUGUAGCGGUGGAAUGCGUAGAUAUCGGGAGGAACACCAGUGGCGAAGGCGACCUACUGGGCACCAACUGACGCUGAGGCUCGAAAGCAUGGGUAGCAAACAGGAUUAGAUACCCUGGUAGUCCAUGCCGUAAACGAUGAUUACUAGGUGUUGGAGGAUUGACCCCUUCAGUGCCGCAGUUAACACAAUAAGUAAUCCACCUGGGGAGUACGACCGCAAGGUUGCAACUCAAAUGAAUUGACGGA
rnacentral:rRNA from 1 species